AGCUGUGCAAGCUGCGGGAGCCAAGCAGUGCAGCCCUGUGCAAUGCAAACACUGAUGAUAAGGGCGCCCUGGAACCGGGCAGAGAACACCUUCGUCCCCGCGGUCUCUUCUGCGCCCUCUGCUGACCACGCUUAACAUCGCGUCAGCCUACGAAGACAGUUACCAAGCCCAUCUGCAUUAUCACAGAACAGGCGAUGAUGAAUGGAUUUGGCGCUGACAGGCAAUAAAUUGAUAAUUGGCACCCUCACAGAUGUUCGUAGGAAUGAAAAGCAAAGCAGAUGGUAAAUAAAUCGGUGUCAGCGUAGAAUGAAGGGAGCAGUGAACAACAACGAGCAAGUCAUCAAAACAAGCAACUACAUAUAUGUAACAGGCAUGUAUUUCGGGCUAGCACAAACAAAGAGAUAAUCUAUUGGAAUGUCAUUCAGAUCCCAGCUGAAGUCUGGCCUCUGCCAAACCAGAUAGAUGCAGAAAAAGGACGGGAGACUACUGCAAGUUCAACUACGUAGUGACCUCAAUUUAAGCCUGUGUGCCAGCUAUGAAGAGGUCAUGUGAACACACAGCGAGACAGUGGCCCCCUACAAGCCAGGAGGCCUCACAAUGAAACCUACUUUGCU
rnacentral:lncRNA from 1 species